CUCCAUUCGCCUGAAACGACAGCCUUACUGAAAUGAAUAUUACUCGCUUUGCUUUGGAGUAUCAGUCACACUCACGCAAUCAGACACAAGGUUUCUAAAUUGACUUUCAAGAGCCUUAGGAACUUCCUCCAUAUCACAAUAAGAAAAAGCAAAAGUUAAUUACUACCUACUUUUAACCAGGGUUUUGUUAACAACAGUUUGCUUCCCUGAUCCCUGUAUCUAUCUCCUGCGCCAGGUACUUCCACCCAAGUCACUGGGAAAAUGCAGCUUCCUUCAUGGACAGAGUCAAUUUCACUGACCAGCCAGGAGGACAGCAUCUGCUCCUUGUCUGUUCCAUUAGUGUUGAAAGGUUUGCACAAAUCUAUUUACCCGCCCUCCUUUCCCUGUGCCCGUUAUGACAAAAAAAAAAACCGGAGCUUUGCCAGACAGCUAGCCAAACCUCCACUGUCCCCUGGCUGUGGAACUGUGUCCGGAGAUGGUUCCUUCCGGUGGGUUCUUGGUCUCGCUCACUUCAAGAAUGAAGCCGCGGACCUUCACGACAGAAAAGUUCUCCAAGUCCCCACCGGACCAAGAAGUCCAACUGGCUUCACCUCCCAGAACAAGCCACCAAGGAAACCACCUGGAUCACACAGAAAUCACACGCAUGACCCUGACCUUGGUCCCUUCUCAACAGAAAAUUUAAAAUAAAAUAAAACAACCUCUCAAAAUUGUGCUCGUUCUUGAGAAAACUUUUUAUAGAAUUAUCUUAUUCAGAAUAAAAUUUUUAUACCAGACAAGGAAAACAUUUUCCAAAUUACAUUUACAAGAAACCUUGGGGAAAGUCUGUGAG
rnacentral:lncRNA from 1 species